CCUACGGGAGGCAGCAGUGAGGAAUAUUGGUCAAUGGUCGCGAGCCUGAACCAGCCAAGCCGCGUGAGGGAAGAAGGUCCUCUGGAUUGUAAACCUCUUUUGUCGGGGAGCAAAAGCCGCCACGCGUGGCGUUCUGAGAGUACCCGAAGAAAAAGCAUCGGCUAACUCCGUGCCAGCCGCCGCGGUAAUACGGAGGAUGCGAGCGUUAUCCGGAUUUAGUGGGUUAAACGGGUGCGCAGGGGGAAGAUCAAUUCAGCGGUAAAAUUGAGAGGCUCAACCUCUUCGAGCCGGUGAAACUGGUAUUCUUGAGUGAGCGAGAGGUAUGCGGAAUGCGUGGUGUAGCGGUGAAAUGCAUAGAUAUCACGCAGAACUCCGAUUGCGAAGGCAGCAUACCGGCGCUCAACUGACGCUCAUGCACGAAAGUGUGGGUAGCGAACAGGAUUAGAUACCCGGGUAGUC
rnacentral:rRNA from 1 species